CUCGUAGGCGGCCAACUAAGUCGGAUGUGAAAUCCCCAGGCUUAACCUGGGAACUGCAUCCGAUACUGGAUGGCUUGAAUCCGGGGAGAGGGAUGCAGAAUUCCAGGUGUAGCGGUGAAAUGCGUAGAUAUCUGGAGGAAUACCGGUGGCGAAGGCGGCAUCCUGGACCGGCAUUGACGCUGAUGAGCGAAAGCUAGGGGAGCAAACG
rnacentral:rRNA from 1 species